GCUGGGCGUGGUGUCUCACGCCUGUAAUCCCAGCACUUUGGGAGGCCGAGGCGGGUGGAUCACUUGAGGUCAGGAGUUCGAGACCAGCCUGACCAACAUGGUGAAACUCCGUCUCUACUAAAAAUACAAAAAUUAGCUGGACAUGGUGGCAGGCGCCUAUAAUCCCAGCUAUUCGGGUGGAUCACUUGAGGUCAGGAGUUCGAGACCAGCCUGACCAACAUGGUGAAACUCCGUCUCU
rnacentral:sRNA from 1 species